rnacentral:misc_RNA from 1 species
GCCAGACCUACUGACCCCGUGCCAUGCAUCGUAAAAAGCAACAAAAAUGCCCUAACCCCCUUUUCUUGAAGUGUCUAGAGGAUUGGCGGGAUGAAGCGAAGCAGAGGAACUCCAAGCUGCAGCACACUUACGCCAAGGCUGCUGUUGCCAUGAAGAAGUAUCCAUUACCUCUUAGUUGUGGAGAGGAGGCAAUGAUUCUUGAAAACAUUGGUGCCAUGAUUGCAAGAAGACUUAAUGAAGCCAUGAAAAAGUACUCCGUCAAUAAUCACCAAGAGGUGUUUGCAAAUCAUGCUUUGGAAGAUGAGUACACAACAGAUCCAGUGCUAGACUCACUUCUUGUACCUACUCCACCAUCAAUUGAAAUAAAUGAUGACAUUCUUGAAGAAGAACCUAAGAAGAAAAAGGAACCCAGGAGAAAAAUCACUCUUGAAUAUGUACCAGCCUUUAGAUCAGGACCUUAUGCUUUGAUUAUAACAUUGUAUCAACAUAGCCAGAGUCUUAACUUUCCAGGAUACAUGACAAGAGCUGAGCUUCAGAAGGAAGCACAGCCGCUUUGUGAUGCUUCCUUUACAAAGCCUGACCCAGGCAGUCAUUACACAGCAUGGUCCUCUAUGUCAGCACUGAUCAAAAAAGGUUUUAUUACCAAGACAAGCAAUCCAGCCAGAUAUUCCAUCACUGAUCAAGGCUGCAUUUUAGCCCAGAAGCUGAACAGAGUAAGUGGUGACAGGUUGUCGAUGGUGUCAUCACACUGUACUGCAGCCAUUACCACUAACCUGGCCUCCUCUAAUUUAGUUGACACAAAAUCUGGCAGUAAACUAUGUGUAUCCAGCAGUAGUGGUGUAUCAACAUCAAAGCCAGUCAUUGAUUUCAAACAAAUGGCCCUCAGUGAUGCUUCUGCAACAAGCUUUGAAGGAUUUACAAGUAUAGUUGUAAAAAGGGAAUUAAAUCCCAAGAGAAUUGUUGAGGCUGACGUCGACUUUGAUCCAGGUUUUGUGCUGAGACCAGGAACGUUUGAUGUCAUACUGUGUGUAGAUGUGAAUGAGACAACAGCAGAAGUCAACUCAAGGAAAGACGCUCUUAUCCCUGAACUUAAGAACAAUGGAGUACAGUUUGAUGUGCGCAAACUGCAGCUCGGAGACUUUCUUUGGGUGGCUCGUGAAAGACCUGUUCCCGUACCAGGUUGUUUGUCAGUACCUGUGGCUCGAGAACUUAUCCUGGAUUACAUUGUGGAAAGGAAAAGAAUGGAUGAUCUUUGUGGAAGUAUCAUUGACGGUCGUUUCCAUGAGCAAAAGUUUCGACUUCGCCAUUGUGGUCUUAGACACCCAAUCUACCUGGUAGAAGAUUUUGGCUCAAUUCAGCACAUGAGUCUACCGGAGAACACAUUGCUUCAAGCUAUCGUUAACACACAGGUUGUAGAUGGCUUUUUUGUAAAGCGGACACGAGAUUUGAAAGAGGGUGUUGCUUAUUUAACAGUCAUGACUCGAUACUUGCAAAAGUUUUACGCAAAUAAAACUCUUGUCAGCUGUCAUCAAGGAGGCCUGGAGCAAGCCCGUUUAAACAAUGAAAAGGAAAGAAAUAAAAUGUACCUCAUGAAUUUCCUCGAUUUUAACGACUCAACUGCCAAGAAUAAGGUGAUGACAGUGAGUGAAGUGUUUGCCAAGCAGCUUAUGCAGCUAAGUGGUGUGUCUCCUGACAAGGCUGUUGCAAUCUUGGACAAGUAUCCCACGCCUAAAAGUUUAUUAGAUGCAUACAAGGUACAGAAGAGUGUGGAAGAUCAGGAAUUGCUCCUUUCUGAGCUGAAAUGCGGUGAAAAUCAAAGGACAUUAGGAUCGUCUCUGAGUAAACUGAUUUAUCAGCUGUUCUGUUCACCAUCCUUGUGUUGAUACCUGAAGCGGAAACUGGUUUCUCUAUCUAUUUCUUCUAUGUGUUACUUACACAAACAAGUUGUCCAGAAAUCUUGAAGGAUAUGACAAUAGCCUUAAUUUGGCGGAAAAAAUGUGCAUGGAUAUUUCUUGGACGUUAUCUGUCCGCCAGUCAGUGGACAAAUAACUUAGGAGCGACUUUUUUUCAAGACCGCGUGAGAGGUGGCACAUCGACCGAAAAAUUACUAUCCUCAUAUUUCAGUCAGAGAUGCUUUACAGUGAGCUUACAAAAGUGGUAGUCAUUGCUGCGAAACUUGUUAACUUCGCAGCGGGGAUUUUAUGCAGAGUUGAACGUUACAAUGACAUUGCCAAGAAGAGCCAAUAAGCAGAACACAAAACAACAAAUAGCUAUAGAAAAAAGAUUAGGGAAAGGAUCAAGAGUCAGAGUAAAGGCGAAAAAGAGGCAGAGUACAAAAUGAUUGAAAUAGGAGAAGAAUACCAAGUAUGGAGCCGGCAAUAGAAUGAAAUAGAUAGGGUGAACUAGACCUGAGAAUAUAUAACUGUAUGAUAAACAACGUGCCAUUUGAAAUCACUACUACAAAUAAAGAAUCUUAGCUGAGUUAAGAACGUUCUUCCCAAAUUGAGAG